AUUGAACGCUGGCGGCGGGCUUAACACAUGCAAGUCGAGCGGGGAAAGGUAGCUUGCUACCUGACCUAGCGGCGGACGGGUGAGUAAUGCUUAGGAAUCUGCCUAUUAGUGGGGGACAACAUCUCGAAAGGGAUGCUAAUACCGCAUACGUCCUACGGGAGAAAGCAGGGGACCUUCGGGCCUUGCGCUAAUAGAUGAGCCUAAGUCGGAUUAGCUAGUUGGUGGGGUAAAGGCCUACCAAGGCGACGAUCUGUAGCGGGUCUGAGAGGAUGAUCCGCCACACUGGGACUGAGACACGGCCCAGACUCCUACGGGAGGCAGCAGUGGGGAAUAUUGGACAAUGGGGGGAACCCUGAUCCAGCCAUGCCGCGUGUGUGAAGAAGGCCUUUUGGUUGUAAAGCACUUUAAGCGAGGAGGAGGCUACCGAGAUUAAUACUCUUGGAUAGUGGACGUUACUCGCAGAAUAAGCACCGGCUAACUCUGUG
rnacentral:rRNA from 1 species